rnacentral:piRNA from 1 species
UCCAGGGGCUUAUCUGUUUGACCUUUGGU